rnacentral:rRNA from 1 species
GACGAACGCUGGCGGCGUGCCUAAUACAUGCAAGUUGAGCGCUGAAGGCUGGUACUUGUACCAACUGGAUGAGCAGCGAACGGGUGAGUAACGCGUGGGGAAUCUGCCUUUGAGCGGGGGACAACAUUUGGAAACGAAUGCUAAUACCGCAUAAAAACUUUAAACACAAGGUUUAAGUAUGAAAGAUGCAAUUGCAUCACUCAAAGAUGAUCCCGCGUUGUAUUAGCUAGUUGGUGAGGUAAAGGCCCACCAAGGCGAUGAUACAUAGCCGACCUGCGAGGGUGAUCGGCCGCGUUGGGACUGCGACCCGGCCCAAACUCCUUCGGGAGGCAGCAGUAGUGAAUCGGCGGCCAUCGGCGGAAGUCUGACCGAGCUACGCGGCAUGAGGGUGGAAGGACUUCGGGUCGUAAAUCUCGGUUUGUAGGUAAUAACGUGGGUGAGGGUGGAAAGCUCAUCAAGUGACGGUAACUACCCAGGAAGCGACGGCUAACUACGUG